UACGUAGGGGGCUAGCGUUGUCCGGAAUCAUUGGGCGUAAAGAGCGUGUAGGCGGUCCGGUAAGUCCGCUGUGAAAGUCGGGGGCUCAACCCUCGAAUGCCGGUGGAUACUGUCGGGCUAGAGUGCGGAAGAGGCGAGUGGAAUUCCUGGUGUAGCGGUGAAAUGCGCAGAUAUCAGGAGGAACACCUAUUGCGAAGGCAGCUCGCUGGGACGUAACUGACGCUGAGACACGAAAGCGUGGGGAGCGAACAGG
rnacentral:rRNA from 1 species